AACGAACGCUGGCGGCAUGCCUAACACAUGCAAGUCGAACGAAGUCUUCGGACUUAGUGGCGCACGGGUGCGUAACGCGUGGGAAUCUGCCCUUGGGUGCGGAAUAACUUCUCGAAAGGGAUGCUAAUACCGCAUAAUGUCGUAAGACCAAAGAUUUAUCGCCCAAGGAUGAGCCCGCGUAAGAUUAGCUAGUUGGUGGGGUAAAAGCCUACCAAGGCGACGAUCUUUAGCUGGUCUGAGAGGAUGAUCAGCCACACUGGGACUGAGACACGGCCCAGACUCCUACGGGAGGCAGCAGUGGGGAAUAUUGGUCAAUGGAGGCAACUCUGAACCAGCCAUGCCGCGUGCAGGAAGAAGGCCCUCUGGGUUGUAAACUGCUUUUGACUAGGAACAAAUGACUCUUGCGAGAGUAGCUGAGUGUACUAGUAGAAUAAGCCACGGCUAACUACGUGCCAGCAGCCGCGGUAAU
rnacentral:rRNA from 1 species